rnacentral:lncRNA from 1 species
AAUAUUCAGGUCAGGUCAAAGCCUAGAGAAAAAUGCGCAUUCAGAAGUGGGCUGCCAUCCUGCUUUUUCUGAAGUGAACAGCUGCUGGGUAUUGAAACCAGCCCUCACGGUUGGGUCCCUGCCACCAUGGCAACACUCUGGUUUCUGAGCUGGAGUGGCCAAGGCACAAUGGGGUGGUUCCAUGGCCCAGAAGCACUCUAGCUACAGAUUAGUUUAUUUCAGGACUAUAUUAAGUUUCCCAACUUCUGUCAUGAUAUAGUCCAAAGAGAACCUGGACCACGCAGACAUCAAACAGAACAUGACACUGACCCAUUCUAUCAGUGACGUUGUGCUGAUUGCACAGGACAGAUGAGAGGCUCGUAUACUAGAAGUCUUGCAUCAUCUUUAUGUAAAUCACUGUACUUGGCUUCGUGAGAAAUAUAAAAAUGAAUUGCUUCAAUCCCUGGACUCAAGGAUCCUGUGUUACCAAGGUGGUUAUCAAACCUGGGUCAAAGUUGAAUCACCUGAGGAUCUUUUAGAACAUACACAGUCAUAUGAUACUUCAAAAUCUGUGAUUCCAUGAAGCCAAGAGUAGCUCUUCAACAGGAAAUGAAUGAGUGCUUCAGCUUCUGAUCCCAUUAGUAAGAAAAUACAGUCUUAUGAGCAAUGAUGGAGCUGCAUCUCUUAGGGGCAUUUGAUUCCCAAGAGACCAAAGAGCAAAGAGAAUGUCAAUUUAAAAAAAUCAAAUGUUUCCAUGACUUAGCUAUUUAACUGCUUUAAAAUGAAUGAAUGCUGCUUCAAGUUCUUUCAAAUACCCCACAUCUUGGCAACAACGAAAGGAAUUAACAUGAAGAAAAUUUACAAUCUUUCAUCACAUCGAACAAUGUCCCACAUUUGAAAAGUUCACAGCACAGAUUUCUGGUUACUGAAAGAAAGGAAAGACCUUCUUUGGAUUUGAAUAAACAGAUGGACUUUCUUCUCCUUUUUCUUAUAGUGCCCGAUUUGUGUAAAGGGAGGUGGGAAGAAAACAUCUUAGCUUAAAAGAGUGUCCUAUAAAAUAAAAGGUUUCAUACU